ensembl:lncRNA
GGUGUAUUGUGUACAGGCUGUUAUUGUAAAAAAUAACAUGGAACAUUCAGCCAUCUUGAAUGAUUUUUAACUCAGGUACCUACAGAAAGCUUAUGGAAAGGUCGACACGCACCCAAGGGUUAUUGUAUUUGUAUUUCGGGUGUGGUGAUGAAAGGGUUAAAAUAAAUCCUUUUUAGUUAACAAGGGGGAUGUCAUUACCCAGUACCGUCUCAAUUUUAACUGAUCGCAUCUGCAGGUUCAUGGUGUGUGAAUGUGGAUACAAGCUGAAGAACCAAUGUAAUCAAUGCUGGAACUUUCCUAUCGAAAAACACAGAGGUCAUGAGAGUAAUAAAGAAGGGCAAGGACAAGGACAUGGAUGUCUCUGUUUAUUAAUGGAGGAGUGUAUGAUGCAAUCUGUACGUAAUUGCUCCAUCCACAUAAGCCUCUGAGAAGUGAGUAAUCCAGUGACAAACAGAUCAGGUAACAUGAUCAAUGUCUUCUGAGCUGCCUUAAAUGAGAAAAAUGUUGGCUUUCAUUUAGGUUCCACACUGUCCCAUUUUUCUUAUGUCACGGCACAUUCACAUGGAAAGGAAAGAUCUCGACAACAGCACAACAAACAGGAUUCUUCCCAAUGCAUAGGAUUAUACAGUUAGAAUACAGUAUUUGAACAUGUUUAUUUUCUUUUUUACAAAGGUAUAUGUUAUAAGAAACAAGAAAUAAAAAUAAUAACUGCACAGCAGUAAGAAAGGUAAUUGUCGAGUAUAGAUACAGUCAUUUAUUAUACACACAGAGGAACAGCUUAGAAUCACGUGGCAAAAAACACCAUUGGAACAGUUUGCGCUAUACUCAAUGCUCUACGUUUGUAAAUGUUUUGUCUUAAGACUAAUUUAGGAAUGCCAGACAUUUUAGGGGAAACCAGUCUACGGUUGGCCUCUGCUUUACACUUGUUUAUUCGGGCUGUUGCCAUAGCCAUCAUAGUCCUACUAUAAGCACACACCACAGACACCCAAAUUAAACAUACACAUCGAAUCUGCAACCGCGGAAAUGAUACUGAAAUGUGUCCAGCCGAUUGGCAAGGAAAGGCUGCAGCAGACUUCUAGUAUUUGACAACACACACAUAUCACGAUCGCAAAUACAUUGCUGUGUCUUCUAUUACUAUAAUCGCUUAGUUAUAAUCACCAAUAGAACAAUAGAAACAAUAUUAUCCUCUAAGGCACAUUUUGGUUAAAGAAAGGCUUGAAAUAAGCUUUUGCAUCACUCCGUCGGGAGUGGAGUCUGCCGUGGUAAACAAGAGCAGUGUUAGAGGAGGACGCAGUCUGCAGUCAGCAUGCAAUUAAGAUCAAACGUACCCCCGCUGACGCCAUUAUGCAGAGUGCCACUCUGUUCUGUGCUGAGUGGGCAGUGCCAAAUGUGGCUUGGCCGGGGUGCCAGGAUGCCAUGCUAGCCGCGGUGGUGGCAGGCAGGAAGGCCGGCAGGCACAGGCCCUGUGCAAACCUAACUCUACCAAAGGCAGGAAUAGCGCUAACAUUCUGGGGUCCGGGACUGAAAGGUCCAAACCGAGACUAGACCACACACACUGACUGAAUUCAGGGAGCUCGUCAAUUCAAACAAUAGUGGUCAGAAGUGUAUGAUGAGUACUUAAAGCGUCCCUAGAUAAGGUGCAGGGUAACGGAUGUCAAUGGCAAAAAUCCUAUAAAGCAAUUAACAAAUCAUACCAGGCACCAAGUCAACGCAUGCACUUUGAGAUUGUUUUUGUAUGAUUACAAGCGUGAUACAAAUGGAAUCAAUUAUUAUAACCAUUGGGUAACUAGAAUGCCAUAAUUUAUAUUGCAAUUCAUUAUUAAGUAUAUGAACUGACUUGACAUGUGCCACAUUGUACCAAUGAUGGUUUAUGUUGUAAAAAUAUUAUUAAAAACAUAAAAACACGUACCACUCUCUUUAGUACCUUUCAAAGCUUAAAUGCACCUAAUAAUAUCAUUUUAUUAGUGCGGUAAUAUGGCACCCAAUGGCAUAAAGAAACACAAAACAAUAUUAACAGUUUGUUGCAUGGUCCUAAUAAUUAGUU